CAGCCGCCACGGUAAGACAGAGGAUGCAAGCGUUAUCCGGAAUGAUUGGGCGUAAAGCGUCUGUAGGUGGCUUUUCAAGUCCGCCGUCAAAUCCCAGGGCUCAACCUGGGAAUGGCAAUGGAUACUGGCAAGCUAGAGUGUGUCAGAGGAUGGUGGAAUUCCCGGUGUAGCGGUGAAAUGCGUAGAGAUCGGGAGGAACAUCAGUGGCGAAGGCGGCCAUCUGGGACAACACUGACGCUGAGGCACGAAAGCGUGGGGAGCAAACAGGAUUAGAUACCCCUGUAGUCCCUGUCUCUUAUAC
rnacentral:rRNA from 1 species